rnacentral:rRNA from 1 species
CCAGACUCCUACGGGAGGCAGCAGUGGGGGAUAUUGCACAAUGGGGGGAACCCUGAUGCAGCGACGCCGCGUGAGUGAAGAAGUAUUUCGGUAUGUAAAACUCUAUCAGCAGGGAAGAAAAUGACGGUACCUGACUAAGAAGCCCCGGCUAACUACGUGCCAGCAGCCGCGGUAAUACGUAGGGGGCAAGCGUUAUCCGGAUUUACUGGGUGUAAAGGGAGCGUAGACGGCAGAGCAAGUCUGAAGUGAAAGCCCGGGGCCCAACCCCGGGACUGCCCUUGGAACUGCAUGGCUGGAGUGCGGGAGGGGCAGGCGGAAUUCCUGGUGUAGCGGUGAAAUGCGUAGAUAUCAGGAGGAACACCGGCGGCGAAGGCGGCCUGCUGGACCGCGACUGACGUUGAGGCUCGAAAGCGUGGGGAGCGAACAGGAUUAGAUACCCCCGUAA